UAGCUAUGUAAAUACCGCGGCGUUGCCUUA
rnacentral:sRNA from 1 species